rnacentral:rRNA from 1 species
UCAUGGCUCAGAACGAACGCUGGCGGCAUGCCUAACACAUGCAAGUCGAACGAGACCUUCGGGUCUAGUGGCGCACGGGUGCGUAACGCGUGGGAAUCUGCCCAAAGGUUCGGAAUAACAGUUAGAAAUGACUGCUAAUACCGGAUAAUGUCGCAAGACCAAAGAUUUAUUGCCUUUGGAUGAGCCCGCGUAGGAUUAGCUAGUUGGUGGGGUAAAAGCCUACCAAGGCGACGAUCCUUAGCUGGUCUGAGAGGAUGAUCAGCCACACUGGGACUGAGACACGGCCCAGACUCCUACGGGAGGCAGCAGUGGGGAAUAUUGGACAAUGGGCGAAAGCCUGAUCCAGCAAUGCCGCGUGAGUGAUGAAGGCCUUAGGGUUGUAAAGCUCUUUUACCCGGGAUGAUAAUGACAGUACCGGGAGAAUAAGU